UAGCUAUUAAAUAUAUGAGGUGUCUCG
rnacentral:sRNA from 1 species